rnacentral:rRNA from 1 species
GAUGAACGCUAGCGGCAGGCCUAACACAUGCAAGUCGAGGGGUAGAGGAAGCUUGCUUCCUUGAGACCGGCGCACGGGUGCGUAACGCGUAUGCAAUCUGCCUUGUACUGAGGGAUAGCCCAGAGAAAUUUGGAUUAAUACCUCAUAGCAUUAUGAAAUCGCAUGGUUUUAUAAUUAAAGUUCCAACGGUACAAGAUGAGCAUGCGUCCCAUUAGUUAGUUGGUAAGGUAACGGCUUACCAAGACGAUGAUGGGUAGGGGUCCUGAGAGGGAGAUCACCAACACUGGUACUGAGACACGGACCAGACUCCUACGGUAGGCAGCAGUGAGGAAUGUUGGUCAAUGGACGCAAGUCUGAACCAGCCAUGCCGCGUGCAGGAUGAAGCAUCUAUGGUGUGUAAACUGCUUUUGUACGGGAAGAAACACUCCUACGUGUAGGAACUUGACGGUACCGUAAGAAUAAGGAUCGGCUAACUCCGUGCCAGCAGCCGCAGUAAUAC